rnacentral:lncRNA from 1 species
UCUGCGCGGAGCAUGGAAGACCCGGGGGGUGCAACCAACUUUCGCGGCUUACGAUUAAGAGAACACCCUGCACGGAGCAUGGAAGACCCGGGGGGUGCAACCAACUUUCGUGGCUUACGGUUAAGAGAACACCCUGCACGGAGCAUGGAGGGCCCGGAUGGCACAACCAACUUUCGUGGCUUACGGUCAAGAGAACACCCUGCA